UGAGUAACGGCGAGCGAAAGGGAAGAGUCCAGCACCGAAUCCGAUGGGCGAGAGCUCGGAGGAAAUGUGGUGUUUGGGAGCGAGCAACUCUCCGCGCGACCGAGGAGCAAGUCCCCCUGACCGGGGCUCUUUCCCAGAGCGGGUGCGAGGCCCAUAGCUUCUGGAAGCGCGGAGAACGCAAACUCCUCGGAGUCGGGUUGCUUGGGAGUGCAGCCCUAAGCGGGUGGUAAACUCCACCUAAGACUAAAUACCGCCGUGAGACCGAUAGCAAACAAGUACCGUGAGGGAAAGUUGCAAAGAACUUUGAAGAGAGAGUUCAAGAGUACGUGAAACUGCUCAGAGGGAAACGGGUGGGCCCUCGAAAUCCUAUAGUUCCGAGGAUUCAGAGUCUCCUAUGAAGGGUUUGGAGGGAGUUUUAUUUGAAGGUAUCCCGGACGGGACCGCUCUCUUUUCUCUCGGCGUCGGAGAUUCGCAUUUCCUUCGGGCUUCGAGGACGCCGCAACCGGUUGGCGGAACGGCCAUGAAGUUUCGGACUGGCAGGUGGCCGGCGUUUUUCUUUAUGAGAUUCACCGGUUGUUAGCCGCCGAGACCGGGCCGCACCCCGACCGUGGUAAUGUCCACGCUUGUGGGCGACUUCUCUUCCGUACGGUAGCGAGUGAGCGAGGCAGGUGAGGUCCUGUUACUGUCGUCGCACCGGUUCACCGGUGGGCGGCGAUGCAGGAUCCCCGUUGGCUUCGCGAGGCUCGUAACGGA
rnacentral:rRNA from 1 species